rnacentral:rRNA from 1 species
AGAAUCAACGCUGGCGGCGUGCCUAACACAUGCAAGUCGAACGCGAAAGCCCCGCAAGGGGCAAGUAGAGUGGCAAACGGGUGAGUAACACGUGGGUGAUCUACCUCAGAGUGGGGGAUAACGACCCGAAAGGGUCGCUAAUACCGCAUAACAUCCUGCCUUUGGAUAGGUGGAGAUCAAAGCUAGGGAUCGCAAGACCUGGCGCUUGGAGAGGAGCCCGCGGCCGAUUAGCUAGUUGGUGAGGUAACGGCUCACCAAGGCGACGAUCGGUAUCCGGCCUGAGAGGG